UGAUAUCUGAACCCAUUAAGCCAAAGCUAAAAGCAAAGAGAAGCCUGAAAAUGAGUUAAAAAGAUUAACUGGAACACCAACUAAAUCACCAGAUCUUUGAUUUGAACCAGAAUAGGAGGAAUACAACUCCAAACACAAUAGCAACAGGAGCCCACUUUCGAAUUAAAGCCUGCCGGUUCAGAUCUCUCGCCUUGUCGGCAUAUAUGCGGGAUUCUGAAGUCAACCUACUUGACAUUUG
rnacentral:misc_RNA from 1 species